GGGCCGUAACAGACAAAAUUGUCUUCAGAUCGUUUCACAUAAACGAUUGAUUUUUUUUAUUGCAUAAAUGAUUUUUUUUUCCAGAACAGAUAACUCUAGAACAUUGUCUUAUCGUCUUCACUAAAACACACUGAUAAAAAAUCAGACGGUUGUUGGUAAUAAAAAUCAUCCGCAAAAUUGUCUUAUAAUCAAGAUACUAUGUCUUCGUUUAUCAUCUGUUAAUCAUAACACCAGAAUUCUACAAAGAGAGCUCAUGGGCAUUGGUUAUCAAGAACCCGAUAAUAUAUGGAUAAUGGUUUGCCCAACGAUGUUGCCAAAAGAAGAUGAUUCUGAGUAAAAUUAAAUGGCAAAUUUGAUGUCAUUUAGAAGCCAUACCAGAAUCUGGAAGCAAUGUUAAAGAGCAUCAAACAACUUAUUUGGCUGGCUCUUAACAAAACCUUCAUUGAUCUAAAUCAGCAGAGGAGAGGGAAACCCAACAAUGGUGUGUCAAGCCCACAUACCCCAAAAGCACCAAAACAUGCACCUCGUCCACCCUUUCGAACCAAACUCGCAGAGAUGAAGCAAAUCACUGCUGUUCUUUUCCAAGGCCAGACACUGUUUCCUUCAUGAUUCAUCGUUCCUUCUGUUCUCCAAAGGCCGACUUUGUUCAAACUAAUGGCUCCAAAGCACCCUCGAGUGCUCUUCUAUGAGCAUGAAUUAUGUCAAGCUGUUGCUCAAAACAACCUUACCUGAUUACACUUGCUGCAGUCAGACUCUUCAUAUUGGUUUCCUCUCUUUCUGUUGGUAUUAGGUUUUGUCUUCAUUACAUUAUUGAUCAUUUCUCUUGAUGAUCAUCAUUACCUAUAGUAAGAAGCAUGCAAGAUCGGUGCAUGCUAGUGGUGCUGCCAUUAUCUUAGAAGGGUCGUGAAGAGAACAGAUGAAAGCUUUUUAAAGAUCUCGUUCAUAAAUAUUGGGCUAAUUUACUCGAAAGCCCAAUAUGAUUAUUCUGCAGGAUCCGCGUGUUUUACCGUUUGUGUACCCGGGAUCCGUGCGUUUUACCAAAUGGGGAUCCAAAUAAUGAUCCAAGAUCCGCGUCCUUCAGAGUGCAAAAAUGUCCAUUUUACCCCUCAAAGAUUUCUUUUGUUUAGUCAUAGAAUUAAAAAUUUGUAAUGGCAUCUUUUGUAAUUUUUUACCCUUUA